rnacentral:miRNA from 1 species
AUGUGUGUAACGUGUGUGUGUGUCUGUGAGUGCGUAUGUACAUAUAUACACACACAUACACACACACAUAUACACCAAUGCAACUGACA